ensembl:lncRNA
GCUGACCGCGGGUGUUCAUCUAUUAGCUAUUAGCCGACUAGCCUUCAGAUUCCACUGAGGACACAGUGAAGGUAUGAUAGAGCGUUUGUUUCAAAACGACCCCUUCUUACUAACAAGGAUACCGCGUAGAUUUCGUCGAGCAUGACUUUUUUUUUUCUCACGUCCGAGCAACUUUACAAUAAGUUUCCAUUGCUUAUUGCAUUAUUUAAGAGCGAUGUGCAAACUAGCUUGCUGGCUAGUCUGUGAGGGACACUUAUCCUAGCAUGCCAGUUGAGUAGAGCCGAUAUAUAUCACAUACUGUUCUCUAAAGAUUUUAAUAGUGUCUUGUCUGUCAAAAAUCACGUGCAGUUUCUACUUGUUCUGAGGGAUAUUAUAUUUGGGCGAUAGAUGUAUUAAUUGGCUAACUUAGCCGCUGGAGACCGCCAUUUUUUAUAAAUCAAGGGAGGGAAAUUUGAGCAACAUAUAAAGAGUUUGAUGGGAGAAACAAUUUAUAUGACUGUCUGUCUUGAAUUUUUCUCUGUGUAAAAUAACGUUUUGGAAUCCCAAUACACGUGGAUGAGGAAUCUCACUGUUAGCUGCGAGUUAGAGUACAGAAAUCUGAGGAAUAUUUACAGAUAGCUGGGCUUGUUCAAUACUAAUCCAACCAGGAUUUGUCAGUAAUUUACAGACGAGUGUGAGGUGUGAUUUCUUAAAUCAGUUUGACACUAAGCUUGAGCAGCAGAACCUCAAGGAGUGACAUUUCAGCUGCAAAUGCAAACUGCAUUCAACUAACGUUACAUUUGCUCUCUUUGAGAGCAUUCAAGCCUUGAAUUGAGUGUCUGCUGCUUUUCUGUUGAGCUUUCAGAGAAUAAUUGUAUGUUAAGUAAGGGUUCCCAGAUUGAAAAACUGCUAGUUUUCUCAGCUAAUUCAGUAGCACGUUUUUUAUUAUUAUUAUUAUUAUUAAGUGCAAUUAACUGAUUGUUUGAUGCGCUUUGAGGAACUAGUAUCACAUGCACUGGUGUCCUCAGAAACGUGUCCUUUCAUAGAUGAAUAUGCAGCAUCAUUGGAAAACUGCAGGACUGCCAGAAUAAUCAUAUUCACCUACAAGCUACCAACAAGAUGGCUGGAAACGAGGCUUUGAGUGCUCUGGUUCAGUCUUGCUUGCCUGCUGUUACUGUCAUCUUCUAUCCCAGAGCCAAACUGGGCCCAAGUCCGAAUGUGGCAGCAUUUAAUCUUGCCUGAGAUGUGAGUACGUAGCCAAGUCACACACAAUGUCAACAUGGCUUCCUGGUGCCGAGAGGGUGCCAGUAACUUAGCCAGCCCCUCCAUUUUGCUGCAUUACCCGUGCUGUCUGAUGCAGUUCAAUGGAGCGUUUUGUAGUCCCGUAGCCGCCCGGUUGGAGUCUAUUUUUUAUUUUUUCUCCAUAAUGCGUUCUUUCACAGUAACGUCAAAUGAUGUGCGAUGAGGGCAGCAACUAUUCUGAGUUUUGAACAGUCUAUUAUUUAUUUUGUCGGCAGAUUGAUGAAACUUAAUUCACUAACCUUUUCCUGUCCACAGACUGACUGUGCAUUUGGAAAUGUGGUUGAUGCCGAGGCCAGAAUCCUAACAUGGCGGACAAAAGGGACUUCGGAAAACAUCAGUUUGGUUACUUCUGUCCCUAUCCAUUACUUUAUUUCCAGGUGGAAAGAAGGCAACAUGUGCACCAUGGGAUGAGGUAGUAGGUUGUAUAGUUUUAGGGUCACACCCACACUGGGAGAUAACUAUACAGCCUACUGUCUUUCUCAAAGUGAAAACGGAGCUACGGAGUAUCAUCCUACGUUUCCUGAUGUUUAAUAUCAAUGAUAGCUUUGUCACGGUAUGUGUUGAAAAUGUUUUUGAUUGUUAAUAGAGGCAGCAAUGCUUGUGCAGUGUGAGGUAGUAGAUUGUAUAGUUGUAGGGUAGUGAUUUUAUCCUGUGUAGCAGAUAACUAUACAAUCUAUUGCCUUCCCUGAGGGGCAGAAAUACACACCAAAUGAGCAUCUAAUUAUUUAAGAAAAUGUGAUGCAUGUGGUUUUUAAAUCAAGAUUGAAUUAUUUUCCUUGUCUAAAGUAUCUUUGUUUUUAACAAAUACAGUAAAUUAUUUCUAAAUUUAUCUGUGGUUUUCUUUGAUGUAAAAUAUAUGCAUGACUUGUAUUAAAGGGUUACUGGUUUUAUGCCUAUUUUUAAACGGGAAAAGAAAUUAAAUAUUUUCAGGGAGUGAAAGACAUCCCAAAACCACCUCAGCAUCAUGCAUUCAUCCUGGAGAUGGCGCUCUUGUAUUGUCUAUGUUAAACACAUGGCUGAACCUCACAGGAUAAUAGAGCUGCAUGUCCUCUGAAUGAUCAGCUUGGUUUAGUACAAGAGUGAGUCUUUUAUUUUGUAUUAAGCAUAUGCUGGAUUUUUUGCCUUAUGCUGGAUUUAUGUUGCUUUUGUUUAUUAUUAUUAUUAUUCCUCUAUACUUUUAUAUUUCUGUAAACUUGCUAAAUUUUGCAGGUAUGAAGGAUCUGUAGGUAAUUGCAUUGUGGUUGAUUUUGGGAUGGAUGGUUGCAAUUAAAUUGGCAAUAUUUAAGUUGUCAGCCUCACUGUCAUGAGCUAUACAUUACAUUUUAUUGCAUUACUUUUUUUCUUUUUUUUUAAAGUGUGCCAGUAGUUGACAAUUUAGGUGAAAUGUUACAAAAAUUAAAAUAAUAAUUCUGAUUUACUGCUCUAAUAAUGGGUCUGAUGUUUCAUAUUUAAAAAUGAAUUUGAAAAGUUUGCCACUUCAAAUAUACUUUUUAAUUUUUCAUGAUUGAUUUUUAUUAAAUAAAAACAAUUAAAACCAAGACUGAGUUUUCUAUAGAUCUUAUAAACCUUGUCAUGGACAAAGAAAUAUAAACUGGCAUGAAUCAGUUUUAAAUUACAAUAUUAUGGAUAAAAAUCGUCCACCCAAAUAACCAGGCAUUUGAGAUUUCAGGUUCAUUUCAAAAAGGAUCCAUUUUCAUUUCUGUCAGACAACAGAAUUAAUAUAAUUGGACUCACUUUAUAGCCUUAAACAACUAUGCAGUACAUUUAAAAUAAUCAUUUGGUACAAUGCACUUACCUUUUUACAUUGUACUUAUAUUUUAAAAAUACCUGCGUGUAAUUACAUUUGUAAUUAAUUUCUGUAAUUACAUUUAUAAUUACACUGUUGACCCUUACACCUUAACCCACCCUUAAACCUACCCAAUAAUAAAUUAUAAGUUAAUAAAUUGUGUUGAGCCAUCUCAAGCUAGACUUAAUGUGUAUAAAUGUUGGGAUACAACUAUGGUUCAUUUAACCAUUGCUAAACCGUUUAUACAAAUAUUCAGUUUUCAGUAAUAGUUAUCAAAAUUGUGUUAAAAGAGUUGAUAGUUUCAGAUUGUGUAUAUGGCAAACCAAACAAAAUGACAAUUUGAUAAAAAGAGACACUAAUGAAUUCAUUGAGUAUUUUCCAUUUAUGGAUUUGUUGUUUAUUUUAAAGAUAAGUUAUGAUGGUUACAGCAGGAUUUGUUGAUGUGGAAAGAUAAUAUGAGCUGUUAAACUCAUUACUUACACAAAUGUUAAUAAGGGACCCUUUUCAUGGAAUGACAUUUCUAUUGUGAACAUUUCAUUUAACUUUGCCUGCACCUAUUGCUAUUAAUGAACAUCCAUCUAGGACAUAUACAGUUGAUAAGUUUUUUCAUUUUUCUGUUUCAAUAUUUGUUGUACUGCUCUUGGCCAUUGAGCACACAAGGUCCUUUGGCAUCAAUUUUUUGGAAGGUGGAUAGAUGAA